rnacentral:misc_RNA from 1 species
GAUGAAGAACGCAGCGAAAUGCGAUAAGUAAUGUGAAUUGCAGAAUUCAGUGAAUCAUCGAAUCUUUGAACGCACAUUGCGCCCGCUAGUAUUCUGGCGGGCAUGCCUGUUCGAGCGUCAUUUCAACCAUCAAGCCCUGUUUAGGCUUGUGUUGGGGCCCUGCGGCUGCCGCAGCCCCCUAAAUGCAGUGGCGGGCUCGUUGUCACUCCGAGCGCAGUAGCGUAUCUCGCUCUGGGCGUGGCGGCGGGUGCUAGCCGUGAAACACCCACUAUGGUUGACCUCGGAUCAGGUAGGAAUACCCGCUGAACUUAAGCAUAUCAAUAAGCGGAGGA